GAUGAAGAACGUAGCGAAAUGCGAUAAGUAAUGUGAAUUGCAGAAUUCAGUGAAUCAUCGAAUCUUUGAACGCACAUUGCGCCCCCUGGUAUUCCGGGGGGCAUGCCUGUCCGAGCGUCAUUACAACCCCCAAGCUCAGCUUGGUAUUGGGCCCCGCCGCUCCGGCGGGCCCUAAAGUCAGUGGCGGUGCCGUCCGGCUCCGAGCGUAGUAAUUCUUCUCGCUCUGGAGGCCCGGUCGUGUGCUCGCCAGCAACCCCCAAUUUUUUUCAGGUUGACCUCGGAUCAGGUAGGGAUACCCGCUGAACUUAAGCAUAUCAAUAAGCGGAGGA
rnacentral:misc_RNA from 1 species